rnacentral:rRNA from 1 species
AUUGAACGCUGGCGGCAGGCUUAACACAUGCAAGCCGAGCGGGAUGAUGGUGCUUGCACUAUCACUUAGCGGCGGACGGGUGAGUAAUGCUUAGGAAUCUGCCUAUUAGUGGGGGACAACAUCUCGAAAGGGAUGCUAAUACCGCAUACGUCCUACGGGAGAAAGCAGGGGAUCACUUGUGACCUUGCGCUAAUAGAUGAGCCUAAGUCGGAUUAGCUAGUUGGUGGGGUAAAGGCCUACCAAGGCGACGAUCUGUAGCGGGUCUGAGAGGAUGAUCCGCCACACUGGGACUGAGACACGGCCCAGACUCCUACGGGAGGCAGCAGUGGGGAAUAUUGGACAAUGGGGGGAACCCUGAUCCAGCCAUGCCGCGUGUGUGAAGAAGGCCUUAUGGUUGCAAAGCACUUUAAGCGAGGAGGAGGCUCUUUUGGUUAAUACCCAAGAUGAGUGGACGUUACUCGCAGAAUAAGCACCGGCUAACUCUGUGCCAGCCGCCGCGGUAA